rnacentral:rRNA from 1 species
UGGGGAAUCUUGCGCAAUGGAGGAAACUCUGACGCAGCCAUGCCGCGUGAGUGAUGAAGGCCUUCGGGUUGUAAAGCUCUGUCUAAGGGGAAAAAUGAUGCGAUGUCGAAUAGGCAUGGCAAGUGAUGGUACCCUUAAAGAAGCAUCGGCUAACUCCGUGCCAGCAGCCGCGGUAAUACGGAGGAUGCGAGCGUUAUCCGGAUUUAUUGGGUUUAAAGGGUGCGCAGGCGGCGCGCCAAGUCAGCGGUCAAAGUUCCGGGCUCAACCCGGUGUCGCCGUUGAAACUGGCGUGCUCGAGUGCGUGCGAGGAAGGCGGAAUGCGUUGUGUAGCGGUGAAAUGCAUAGAUAUGACGCAGAACUCCG